CCUACGGGUGGCAGCAGUGAGGAAUUUUGGUCAAUGGGCGCAAGCCUGAACCAGCUAAGUCGCGUGUGGGAUGAAGGCUCUAUGGUUUGUAACCUCCUUAUAUGAGGGCGUAAAGGUAUCCACGUGUGAAUAUUUGCGUGUACCCUAUGAAUAAGCAUCGGAUAACUCCGUGCCAGCCGCCGCGGUAAUACGGAGGAUGCGAGCGUUAUCCGGAUUUAUUGGGUUGAAAGGGUGCGUAGGUUGUUUGGUAAGUCAGCAGUGAAAGUUUGGGGCUCAACCAUAAAAUUGCCUUUGAAACUGGAAGACUUGAGUGUGUUUGAGGUAGGCGGAAUGCGUGGUGUAGCGGUGAAAUGCGUAGAUAUCACGCAGAACACCGAUGGCGAACGCAGCUCACGAAUACGCGAUUGACGCUGAUGCACGAAAGCGUGGGUAUCAAACAGGAUUAGAUACCCGGGUAGUC
rnacentral:rRNA from 1 species